AUUUUGCACAUGCAAAUCAGAUCCACAAAACAGAUAGAAUUGUUUGAAGGGAUGAGAACAGGUCAGAUACGUAUUCAUAUUUUCGCGUCAGAUUCGAGUAGGAUGCGAAUAUUUCUUAGAUACUAAAAUUCAAAUUCAUUUAUGGUAAAAAUGAAUUCAGAUAUAUAGGGACUUGAUAUUUUGUGCAUGUUAGCUUAAGAUUUUAGAGUACAAUGAUUAUUUCAUAUAAUAUCAGAGUAAGAGAUUAUGAGUUUGAGUCACGCCAGACUUCUAGUAUUAUUUAUAACGGUUAUUUCAUAGAGUGCAAAUAAGAUAUUAAAUG
rnacentral:lncRNA from 1 species